rnacentral:rRNA from 1 species
GACGUAGGGGGCAAGCGUUGUCCGGAAUCAUUGGGCGUAAAGCGCGCGUAGGCGGCCCGGUAAGUCCGCUGUGAAAGUCGGGGGCUCAACCCUCGGAUGCCGGUGGAUACUGUCGGGCUUGAGUGCGGAAGAGGCGAGUGGAAUUCCUGGUGUAGCGGUGAAAUGCGCAGAUAUCAGGAGGAACACCAAUUGCGAAGGCAGCUCGCUGGGACGUUACUGACGCUGAUGCGCGAAAGCGUGGGGAGCAAACAGG